UUAGCUCAGCUGGAUAGAGCACGUCCCUUCUAAGGAUGUGGUCAUUGGUUCUUAUAUUAGGUUAUUUCUGGUGUAAUGAAUCCAUAUGACUGA
rnacentral:tRNA from 1 species